UGACAUAUUUGCUGUUCUUUCUGCACAUCAGGAGGUUUUGUUCCUGCAUCCUCAAUAAGGCUUCUUUAAAAUACAGCCAGUUCUCCUGGACUCCUUUCCCCCACAUAUUAGCCCAAGGAGAUCUUGCCCAUCAGUACCGUGAGGGAGCCCAAGUGUGCUUUUCUGCAG